UACGUAGGGAGCUAGCGUUGUCCGGUAUCAUUGGGCGUAAAGCGCGCGUAGGCGGCCCGGUAAGUCCGCUGUGAAAGUCAAAGGCUCAACCUUUGAAUGUCAGCGGAUACUGCCGGGCUAGAGUCCGGAAGAGGCGAGUGGAACUCCUGGUGUAGCGGUGGAAUGCGCAGAUAUCAGGAAGAACACCAACGGCGAAGGCAGCUCGCUGGGACGGAACUGACGCUAAGGCGCGAAAGCGUGGGGAGCGAACAGG
rnacentral:rRNA from 1 species